rnacentral:rRNA from 1 species
CCCUUAGAUGUUCUGGGCCGCACGCGCGCUACACUGAUGCAUUCAACGAGCACCCGCUGGGCCGAGAGGUCCGGCUAAUCUUUGAACGUACAUCGUGCUGGGGAUAGAUGAUUGCAAUUAUUCAUCUUCAACGAGGAAUUCCUAGUAAACGCAAGUCAUCAGCUUGCAUUGAUUACGUCCCUGCCCUUUGUACACACCGCCCGUCGCACCUACCGAUUGAAUGGUCCGGUGAAAUUCUCGGACGCGGACUUGCGAUGUUAAUUCGGAGCUUGACUGUGAAAGUUAAUUAAACCUUACCAUUUAGAGGAAGGUGAAGUCGUANCA